rnacentral:rRNA from 1 species
UAAGUAGGUAGUGAAAUGAUGAGGCUCAACCUCAUGUCCAUUGCCUAAACUGCUCAGCUAGAGCAUGAGAGAGGUAGCUGGAAUUUCUAGUGUAGGAGUGAAAUCCGUAGAUAUUAGAAGGAACACCGAUGGCGUAGGCAGGCUACUGGCUCAUUGCUGACGCUCAGGCACGAAAGCGUGGGGAGCGACCGGGAUUAGAUACCCCGUUAGUCCACGCCGUAAACGAUGGAUGCUA